rnacentral:lncRNA from 1 species
UUACCUGUGCAGCAAACCCUAAGACUCCAAUAUAAAUUAAGGGUUUCAUUUGAAGCAUUCUUCACUUCAAGCUCUUCAACCGUCGCCGUCUUUUGAGGUCUCAGCAGUACUCUUCUUUUUCUUCUCUCUCCUGUUUGUUUUUGUUUUGAUCAUCGGCUCGACUACUCAGGUUUGCAAAACCGCCUAGAUCACUGAUCCCCUCCUUAUUUAUUUUAUUUGCAUUGCAGGUUACAGAGAGCUUUGGGUUUGGCCACCCCAUGGUUCCAUCGACAGCAGAAGAAAUCUUUCCUGAUAAGGCACAAUGCUAUCUUUUUCUCUGAUGAGUCUGUGAGUUCUCCUUUUUUUUGUGUGUGUGUGUGUGAAAGAAGUCAAGUUUGAUAGGUACCAGCAUCACGCACCAUUGUUGCUUCAUGUCAAGGAAGAAAAUUUCGGUGAUUACGGAAAUUUCGACUCUCCAAAAUAUGGAAAUUUCGACGGAAAUUUCGGGGAAAUAUCGAUUGUAGUAAAAAAAAUGAGAAAAUUGACGGAAAUUUGAAGAAAAACAAGGAAAUUUUAAACCAAACUUUAAGAGAUGUUUGUUUUCUAUAUUAUGUACUAUAUUUGAAAUGAAAACCUUGAAUAAACAUUGAUCUAUAGGGAGUUGUAGUAAGUUAAAGUGAAAAGGUUAGUGCUGAACCGUUAAUAAUUCUUAAAAGUUUACUUUAAACAUUUUUUUUCUUUUUUUUUGAUGGUUGGAAACCCAAAAGGAGGCUAAGCUAUCACGUCUUAUAUACAUAUAAGAAGUGUAGGUUAGGUAGUUAUAAAUGAAUUAAGAAGUGUAGGUUAGGUAGUUAUAAAUGAAUUUUUUUUGAAAGGUAGAUAUAUUAAAAAUGAAUUAAGAAGUGUAGGUAAAAAUGUUUUUUUUUAUGGAAGUGUAGGUAAAAAAGCUAGUUGAACAUUAUACAUUUACCUAAUAUUUUACUUUUACUUUUUAAAUUCGGAAAAAAAACCAAUAUAUAUUAUAAAAAUAGUAAAAUAAACAAGUUGGAUGAUUAGUAGGGUUGGUUAAGGUGUUAACCUUAUACCAACCCAAGGUUCGAAACCCUUGGCUGCCAAAAAUUAUUUUGCUUGUGUAAAAGUGCAAACAAGUCAAACUACUGACUUUUCAAAGUCCAAAUGUUCAGCGGAGGACCACACUGAGUCACUGACACACCACAUGCAUUCAAAUAUCCAUUCAAACUUUCAAAAUUCGGCGGCAAAAUAUUUAGGCGGGAUAAUUUUCUGGGAGAUUUCGAAACUUUCGACGAUAUAUCGAUAAUUUCGGGCCAAAAAAUCUGAGGGGAGAAAUUUGUUUCGCCGAGUGAAAAAAACGAUAUUUUCGGCGAACUAUCUAGAAUAAAUGAUUUAGGUGACAAAGAGGUUUCAUCGCCUAAAUGCUCAUUUUUGUUGCUUAACAGUUGUCGUAUCAGCAUGAACUCGUAAGAAGGUGACGAAUAAAAAAAUAAUGGUCCCCUAAGAUUUAGGCGACUAUUUAUUCAUCGUCGCAUAAGUCUAAAAUGAGGAAAAUAGACACAUUCAUGCGUCGAAAUUAUUGUCGCCAAUAUUUGAUGACAAAUAAAAAUUAUGGUCGCCUUAGUUUCCUUUUCCGAAUUUAAUUUCCAAUAUUAAAUUUGUGACGGAAAAAAGAAAAAAAAUAUAUUUUUAUUAAAUUUGUGAAUUUUCUGUUUUUGUUUUUGUUUUCUUUUAGGUUCUUUUCUUUUAGGUCCUUUCUUGUUUUAGGUUCGUUUUGGACGGUUACUGGGUUUCUAGUAUUGUCACAACCACCACCGCCGCCGCCUCCCACAACACCUCCGACUCCAACUUCUUACAACCCAGAUCCAAUCAACCCCAAACAACCAAAUAUCUUACAACCGAGAUCAAGCAACAGAGAUCGCCUCUGUAGUCAUCUGCAAAAAUGCAAACUCAGUUCUCCGAUCACAAAUUAACCAAGGCCAAAAUGGUAUAUUAAUGGUAAGAUUUACAUACCUCGACGAAGGGAAGGUGAGCGGGCGGCGAUCGCGGUCGGCGGCCAUGACAAUCGGAGCGGUUGAGAUUUGAUUCCACCGUUUGGCGGUUUUGAUUUGCGUGCUCAGAUCUGCAUACUCUUUCGCCGGCGACCCAGCCCCUUCGCCAGUGACCCAAAUUUGCAUGCCCGACUCGCGUGCUCGUCAUGGGACGAAGACCAGAGGGAGAGCUUGAGUCUAGGGGUCUCAGUCGGUGCGUGGAAAUUGGGGGAGAAGAGAGGUGAGAGAGGAGAGGGAGAGAAGAGAGAAGAGAGAAGAGAGAAGAGAGAAGAGAGUUCAAAGAAAAAAAAAGGAAAAAUUUAAGUUUACUCCCCUGAACUUUAAGUCUAAAAUACAGUCCGAUACCUCAUCUUUUUUUU